AGGUUCAGUCCAGGAUCAAAUGUUUGGAUACCAGUAGGUGCUCCAUGUGAAAGUAAUCUUGAAUGAUGAAUGAAGUGGUGUCAGAGGACUGGGCAGUGUAUGAAAGCAUUAUGAAAGACCAGACCAGAGCCUCAGGCAGUUCUGCACCACCCAGCUCUAGCUCACAUUUUACAGUUUCCUGAACAUGCCUUGAUCUAUCAAAUGGAUAAUGCCACCUCAAACUCACACCAUUGAGUGAAUCGAUGUUGCUGCGCUGGUUGUGUGGUUUUGAAACCACCGCAACACCACAGUAUUUCAGGAUGUCAACCUAGUAAACUUUGAAUGAUGUCCAUGCAAGGAUACCAAGAUGCUAAAGCUCACAAGGU
ensembl:lncRNA